AGUCAGACGGUAAGCAGCAUCACGGCAAGGAUACUGAUCAGAAGAUAGCAAGGCACGCACAGAAGACUCUGAGCUCCCCUAACAUGAUGCCUACAGUUAAAGGCUUGGCACACACGAUACCCAGUCAUGUUCUCAGAGUGGGCCAAACUAUUUGCUUGGAACCGUCACAAGAGACAGUCACCCACCAUGAUGAUCCUGAUCUCGACAUUUCUCUGGAAAAUCUCAACCAGUUAAUCUUGGAACUGGAUCCCACAUUUGAACCCAUCGAAUGCAGCAAAAGUCCCACAUGUCUCAGCCCCCCUGCAGAUGCCUCUUGCUCAGAUGAAGAUUUCUCUGAAGUUGUGCUCAUUCCUAGAGGCUGUUCAACCAUUUCAUCACCCACAGUGGUCCCCUCGGUGUCCCCGAGUAUACCCAUCCCCACACACAACGGCCUCAGAUGCAGUCCCCAAGGGACGCUGGUUUUCUCCAGCUCCCCAACGUCCUCUCUGCCCCCGCUGCCAUUUGGCAGCGCACCCAGGCGAAACCCCUCACCGAAGAAUGACUUUUGCCAAGGAUCACUGCGGCUGUCACACUCCAACAGAAACAGCACCGCCUCAUUGCUCUCCACCUCGACCUGCUCGGACACCAGCUACAUCCUUGGCAGGUAAAACUCAGUAAGACAUCCCAUCAUGAUACAAAUGUCUUCCAUUCUGUCCACUUCUCUGGUCUUGAAAACUGAUCCACUUUAAACAUGGUGAGUAUUUUGAGGCGACACGAGCAGAGAAGGCCUGAUCGACUUGGAUGAGCAGUGCUCACAUUGUGACUAAAAGCUGUUCCAUUCUGUGUGUAGGCGAGGGUCACACAC
ensembl:lncRNA